CAAGUCGAACGAUGAUGCCCAGCUUGCUGGGCGGAUUAGUGGCGAACGGGUGAGUAAUACGUGAGUAACCUGCCCUUGACUCUGGGAUAAGCCUGGGAAACUGGGUCUAAUACUGGAUACUACCUCUUACCGCAUGGUGGGUGGUGGAAAGGGUUUUACUGGUUUUGGAUGGGCUCACGGCCUAUCAGCUUGUUGGUGGGGUAAUGGCUCACCAAGGCGACGACGGGUAGCCGGCCUGAGAGGGUGACCGGCCACACUGGGACUGAGACACGGCCCAGACUCCUACGGGAGGCAGCAGUGGGGAAUAUUGCACAAUGGGCGGAAGCCUGAUGCAGCGACGCCGCGUGAGGGAUGACGGCCUUCGGGUUGUAAACCUCUUUCAGUAGGGAAGAAGCGAGAGUGACGGUACCUGCAGAAGAAGCGCCGGCUAACUACGUGCCAGCAGCCGCGGUAAUACGUAGGGCGCAAGCGUUGUCCGGAAUUAUUGGGCGUAAAGAGCUCGUAGGCGGUUUGUCGCGUCUGCUGUGAAAGCCCGGGGCUCAACCCCGGGUCUGCAGUGGGUACGGGCAGACUAGAGUGCAGUAGGGGAGACUGGAAUUCCUGGUGUAGCGGUGAAAUGCGCAGAUAUCAGGAGGAACACCGAUGGCGAAGGCAGGUCUCUGGGCUGUUACUGACGCUGAGGAGCGAAAGCAUGGGGAGCGAACAGGAUUAGAUACCCUGGUAGUCCAUGCCGUAAACGUUGGGCACUAGGUGUGGGGGACAUUCCACGUUUUCCGCGCCGUAGCUAACGCAUUAAGUGCCCCGCCUGGGGAGUACGGCCGCAAGGCUAAAACUCAAAGGAAUUGACGGGGGCCCGCACAAGCGGCGGAGCAUGCGGAUUAAUUCGAUGCAACGCGAAGAACCUUACCAAGGCUUGACAUUCACCGGACCGCCCCAGAGAUGGGGUUUCCCUUCGGGGCUGGUGGACAGGUGGUGCAUGGUUGUCGUCAGCUCGUGUCGUGAGAUGUUGGGUUAAGUCCCGCAACGAGCGCAACCCUCGUUCUAUGUUGCCAGCACGUGAUGGUGGGGACUCAUAGGAGACUGCCGGGGUCAACUCGGAGGAAGGUGGGGAUGACGUCAAAUCAUCAUGCCCCUUAUGUCUUGGGCUUCACGCAUGCUACAAUGGCCGGUACAAAGGGUUGCGAUACUGUGAGGUGGAGCUAAUCCCAAAAAGCCGGUCUCAGUUCGGAUUGAGGUCUGCAACUCGACCUCAUGAAGUCGGAGUCGCUAGUAAUCGCAGAUCAGCAACGCUGCGGUGAAUACGUUCCCGGGCCUUGUACACACCGCCCGUCAAGUCACGAAAGUUGGUAACACCCGAAGCCGGUGGCCUAACCCCUUGUGGGAGGGAGCCGUCGAAGGUGGGACUGGCGAUUGGGACUAAGUCGUAACAAGGUAGCCGUACCGGAAGGUGCGGCUG
rnacentral:rRNA from 1 species